rnacentral:rRNA from 1 species
AGGCGUUUCGAAAAUGAAUCAAAACUUUCAACAACGGAUCUCUUGGUUCUGGCAUCGAUGAAGAACGCAGCGAAAUGCGAUAAGUAAUGUGAAUUGCAGAAUUCAGUGAAUCAUCGAAUCUUUGAACGCACAUUGCGCCCGCCAGUAUUCUGGCGGGCAUGC